GGGUUAGCAGGUCGGUCGUGCCAAUGGUAUGCACUGGCUCGCUGACUCCUCCUUCUUGUAGAACCGUAAUGCCAUUAAUUUGGUGUUGCGGGGAAACAGGACUGUUACUUUGAAAAAAUUAGAGUGUUUAAAGCAGGCUAGCGCCUGAAUACAUUAGCAUGGAAUAAUGAAAUAGGACGUUCGAACCUAUUUUGUUGGUUUCUAGGAUUGACGUAAUGAUUAAUAGGGAUAGUUGGGGGCAUUAGUAUUCAAUUGUCAGAGGUGAAAUUCUUGGAUUUAUUGAAGACUGACUACUGCGAAAGCAUUUGCCAAGGAUGUUUUCAUUAAUCAAGAACGAAAGUUAGGGGAUCGAAGACGAUCAGAUACCGUCGUAGUCUUAACCAUAAACUAUGCCGACUAGGGAUCGGAUGAUGUUAAUUUUUUAAUGACUCAUUCGGCGCCUUACGGGAAACCAAAGUGUUUGGGUUCCGGGGGGAGUAUGGUCGCAAGGCUGAAACUUAAAGGAAUUGACGGAAGGGCACCACCAGGGGUGGAGCCUGCGGCUUAAUUUGACUCAACACGGGGAAACUCACCAGGUCCAGACAUAGUAAGGAUUGACAGAUUGAGAGC
rnacentral:rRNA from 1 species